CCUACAGGCCGCAUACUUGUUGCAGCGAAGACGGAUAGUCGAAAUGCACGGAACAAGGCUUUCCUGGAAGAAGACGUCCACAACUGCGCUGUAUGGUCCGAUGUCACUGGCAGAGAUGCCACGGCCCACUGCAGCAGCAAGAGAAACUGUUCUUGUGGCCAUCCGAAGGAAGAUGUGCAUCAUGUCCUCUUCGAGUGCACUCACAUCUGAUUCACCACGAAGGCACUG